rfam:Candidate division TA06 bacterium 34_109 MPJ_scaffold_270, whole genome shotgun sequence.
GCGUCACUAGCUCAAAUGGUAGAGCAACUGACUCUUAAUCAGUAGGUUCGGGGUUCGAUUCCCCGGUGACGCA